rnacentral:lncRNA from 1 species
UAAUAUUUCUGAAAUUUAAUAUAAAAAUUGUAUUAUUUAAAAAAAUUAGCUAGAAAUAACAGCGUGAAACGCGGUAAUCCAUGAGAUUUCGCUAAAACAUGUGAUACAAUUAUUCAAGAAUUUCGGCUGGAAAUGACAGCAGAGGAUGCAAUGAUCCAGGGCUAUCAUCAAACAGCAGCCAGGGACAAGUGUAUAUACAACUGAAAAGGUGCAGAACUAUCCUAUGAUUGAUGGACAUCUAAGAUUUCGCAGCCCCGAAGACCAGACCGACGGUCCAGGUGAAGAUUGAUCCGAUUACCCACAAGAGCAGGAAGAACACAACGAUACCAGCCAAAAUGGUGAGGACUGGCGGGCCAUCCGGAGAAGCGCUGGCGUCACCAGUGCUGCUCUGUUUUGAAACCUCGGUGCUAGGAGAAUCUGAAUCUGAUGCAAACAGAGUCUUCUUUGGGUCUUCUGUCCUCAACCUUGUUGCAUUCUGAAACCACCCGGAAUUUCUUGCCAAAGGGUAAGGAUGCCUGCAGUACAAAACAACUAGAGUGACAUACUGAUAUAGGUUUCCUUGCCAUUUCACUUAACAUGGAGAGAACCGAUGUGCGUAUGGGCACAGAUAGGUGCCCUUGCCUAUUCGCAUUCAAUUUCCAGGGCCCAUUCUCUUAGCCUGCGCGGAGACAAGCAAAGAAGAAAUGGAACCAACACAGGCACUGUCGUUCUUCAAAAUAACAGCACUUGCUGCCAUGAGCCAAAGAUAUAGCCAGAAAUAACAGCGUGAAACGCGUUAAUCCAUGAAAUUUGGCUAGAAAUAUGUGAUACGAUUAUUCAAGAGUUUCGGCUGGAAAUGACAGCAGAGGAUGCAAUGAUCCAGGGCUAUCAUCAAGCAUCAGUCGGGAACAAGUGUAUAUACAACUGAAAAGGAGCAGAACUAUCCUAAGAUUGCUGAACAUCUAAGAUUUCGCAGCCCCAAAGACCAGACCAACGAUCCAGGUGAAGAUCAAUCCGAUUAUCCACAAGAGCAGGAAGAACACAGCGAUACCGGCCAGAAUGGUGAGCACUGGCGGCCCAUCUGGAGAAGAGUCGGUGUCGCCAGUGCUGCUCUGUUUCGAAACCUCGGUGUUAGGGGAAUCUGUCUCU